rnacentral:rRNA from 1 species
GAAGUUUGAUUCUUGCUUUUUCGUUCAGUUUUUGCUUGCUCUAUAUGUAAGUUUUUGCGUGGGUAUGGUUUGGUAUUCUUGAGGGGUGAGUCCAUGUUUGUAAGGUUAAUUCUCAUUAGUUAUUAUUGUCUAUCAAGUGUUCUUGUAUUCAGCAAUGUAUUUUAGUUUCGGUUAAAUUUUGUGCCAGCAGCCGCGGUUAUACUUUGGGGGCAUUUGAAUGUGUUUGGCGUUAAUGUAGUUUUAUUAUUAAUUUGUUUGGUUGUGACUUUAUAUUGGUUAUUGUUAGGUGAAAUUUUUUUGUUGUUGUUAGGUUUAUUAUUUAUUUGGAAGCUAUGAAAUUCUUUUUAUAGACUAGGAUUAGAUACCCUAUUAUUUUAGAAUGUAAAUUGUUUUGCUUGAGUAGUAUUAGUUAUGUUCUUGAAACUUAAAGAAUUUGGCGGUAUCUCAUUCCGUCUAGAGGAAUCUGUCUCGUUAUCGAUAGUCCACGUUGGACCUUACUUAGUUUAAAUUGGUUUGUAUACCGCCGUUUAUUGAUUAUCUUUUUAGGGGUUUAAUUUUCUGGUUUCUUUAUUUUGAUUUAUUUCAGGUCAAGGUGCAGCUUGUUUCUAAGUGAAUGAUGGAUUACAUUGUUAUUUGUUUUGGAUUAUUCAUUUUAAAAUGAAUAUGAAAUUGGAUUUGGUUGUAAUUAUUUUUAGAAUGUUAUUAUGAUAAUUGGUUCUGGGAUAUGUACACAUCGCCCGUCGCUCUCGUUUAUUUAUUAAUGAGAUAAGUCGUAACAAAGUGGUUGUACCGGAAGGUGCGGCU